AUUGAACGCUGGCGGCAGGCCUAACACAUGCAAGUCGAACGGACCCUUCGGGGUUAGUGGCGGACGGGUGAGUAACGCGUGGGAAUCUGCCCUUUGGUCUGGAAUAACCCUGGGAAACUAGGGCUAAAACCGGAUAAGCCCCGCGAGGGGGAAAGUUUACGCCGAAGGAGGAGCCCGCGUCCGAUUAGCUAGUUGGUGAGGUAAGAGCUUACCAAGGCGACGAUCGGUAGCUGGUCUGAGAGGACGAUCAGCCACACUGGGACUGAGACACGGCCCAGACUCCUACGGGAGGCAGCAGUGGGGAAUAUUGGACAAUGGGCGCAAGCCUGAUCCAGCCAUGCCGCGUGAGUGAUGAAGGCCUUCGGGUUGUAAAGCUCUUUUACCCGGGAUGAUAAUGACAGUACCGGGAGAAUAAGCCCCGGCUAACUACGUGCCAGCAGCCGCCGUAAUAC
rnacentral:rRNA from 1 species